rnacentral:rRNA from 1 species
UACGAAGGGGGCGAGCGUUGUUCGGAAUCACUGGGCGUAAAGGGCGCGUAGGCGGCCCUGUUUGUCGCGUGUGAAAGCCCCGGGCUCAACCUGGGAACGGCGCGCGAGACGGCAGGGCUGGAGUUCGGGAGAGGUGAGUGGAAUUCCCAGUGUAGAGGUGAAAUUCGUAGAUAUUGGGAAGAACACCGGUGGCGAAGGCGGCUCACUGGCUCGUUUCUGACGCUCAGGCGCGACAGCGUGGGGAUCAAACAGG